ACGGAGAGAGUAUAUAAUAUAAUACAUAUAAUAUAAUACAUAAUAAUAUAAUAUAAUUAUAUCACUUUCCUAAAUAUUUAGAACCUAUAAAACUAUCCCUCUUCUACGCCUAUACCUAUUUACGACUCUUUUUCUAUCCAAAUCUAUCACAAAAUCCAAAUCCCACUACAUUCCUUAUUACCUACCUUUUCUCUUCAAGAAAAGCUGCUACUUUUGUCAAACCUGUGUUCUCAAAUAAAAAUUUAAGUUGGAAAGAAAAUAUACCGAUACAUAGUACCUCACGUUCCAAGAAAAGUAAAGACUUCUAAAUUGAGAAAGCUUAUUG
rnacentral:lncRNA from 1 species